CAGGUUAGAUUGGAGUUCUAAAUUUGUAAAUUUUAAACAUCUUUUUUUACUUUUUUCUUAUCAUAUUCUGUUAAAAAUGUAAAACAAAUAUUCAGAUACUUCAUCAGUUAAAUGGGGUCAAUGGGAUGUGCUGCAGCACCCUCAGCACCCACCUUCCCAUGACAAACAGAAAAAUAUGCAGCUCCCUUUUGCUCAGUUACAUACAACACUUAUGAUACACAAACUCAUUGCCAGCAAAUUACCAGACAGGGGUGUGACUCAGACAAAGUAUUCCAGGAAUUUGACUGAUGGCCUUUCACAUGUUUAAUUUUGGUCUGUGUAUGUGGAGACGUACAUAGACCGUAUGUAGACAGGAGCCCUUUUUGGAUGACAGAACACAAUGAGAGCACUCCUUAAUUCCUCCGAUUAUGUACUCCAAGCUGUUAUAAACAUCUCUGACCUGGAGCGUCUCCAGAUGCUUUUGGACACACUCAGCUUUCCUUUACUGAUCAACAGCACUGCUGAAAUUACCAGCAUUGACACCACAACAGGUAAUGACAACAUCCUGUCAUUUUCUUGCUGCACUGUUUGCCAAAAAGAUGAAUAUAUUUAACCCU
rnacentral:lncRNA from 15 species